rnacentral:rRNA from 1 species
CCUACGGGAGGCAGCAGUGAGGAAUAUUGGUCAAUGGACGCAAGUCUGAACCAGCCAUGCCGCGUGCAGGAAGACGGCUCUAUGAGUUGUAAACUGCUUUUGUACGAGGGUAAACGCAGAUACGUGUAUCUGUCUGAAAGUAUCGUACGAAUAAGGAUCGGCUAACUCCGUGCCAGCAGCCGCGGUAAUACGGAGGAUUCAAGCGUUAUCCGGAUUUAUUGGGUUUAACGGGUGCGUAGGCGGUCGGAUAAGUUAGAGGUGAAAUCCCAAGGCUUAACUUCGGAAUUGCCUCUGAUACUGUUAGGCUAGAGAGUAGGUGCGGUAGGCGGAAUGUAUGGUGUAGCGGUGAAAUGCUUAGAGAUCAUACAGAACACCGAUUGCGAAGGCAGCUUACCAAGCUAUUUCUGACGUUGAGGCACGAAAGCGUGGGGAGCAAACAGGAUUAGAUACCCCAGUAGUC